CACUGGUCACGAUAACAACACCCACCAGUAGCACGUGCUCCAGCAGGUAUAUCUCACUGGUCACGAUAACAACACCCAACCGUAGCACGCGCUCCAGCAGGUAUAUCUCACUGGUCACGAUAACAACACCCACCUACUAGUAGCACGUGCUCCAGCAGGUAUAUCUCACUGGUCACGAUAACAACACCCACCAGUAGCACGUGCUCCAGCAGGUAUAUCUCACUGGUCACGAUAACAACACCCACCCACCCGUAGCACGUGCUCCAGCAGGUAUAUCUCACUGGUCAUGAUAACAACACCCACCAGUAGCACGUGCUCCAGCAGGUAUAUCUCACUGGUCACAAUAACAACACCCACCUACUAGUAGCACGUGCUCCAGCAGGUAUAUCUCACUGGUCACGAUAACAACACCCACCCGUAACACGUGCUCCAGCAGGUAUAUCUCACUGGUCACGAUAACAACACCCACCCAUAGCACGCGCUCCAGCAGGUAUAUCUCACUGGUCACGAUAACAACACCCACCCGUAGCACGCGCUCCAGCAGGUAUAUCUCACUGGUCACGAUAACAACACCCACCUACUAGUAGCACGUGCUCCAGCAGGUAUAUCUCACUGGUCACGAUAACAACACCCACCAGUAGCACGUGCUCCAGCAGGUAUAUCUCACUGGUCACGAUAACAACACCCACCCGUAACACGUGCUCCAGCAGGUAUAUCUCACUGGUCACGAUAACAACACCCACCAGUAGCACGUGCUCCAGCAGGUAUAUCUCACUGGUCACGAUAACAACACCCACCCGUAGCACGCGCUCCAGCAGGUAUAUCUCACUGGUCACGAUAACAACACCCACCUACUAGUAGCACGUGCUCCAGCAGGUAUAUCUCACUGGUCACGAUAACAACACCCACCAGUAGCACGUGCUCCAGCAGGUAUAUCUCACUGGUCACGAUAACAACACCCACCAGUAGCACGAGCUCCAGCAGGUAUAUCUCACUGGUCACGAUAACAAACACCCAACCGUAGCACGCGCUCCAGCAGGUAUAUCUCACUGGUCACCAUAACAACACCCACUAGUAGCACGCGCUCCAGCAGGUAUAGCUCACUGGUCACGAUAACAGCACCCACCCGUAGCACGUGCUCCAGCAGGUAUAUCUCACUGGUCACGAUAACAACACCCACCCGUAACACGUGCUCCAGCAGGUAUAUCUCACUGGUCACAUUAACAGCACCCACCAGUAGCACGUGCUCCAGCAGGUAUAUCUCACUGGUCACGAUAACAACACCCACCCGUAGCACGCGCUCCAGCAGGUAUAUCUCACUGGUCACGAUAACGACACCCACCAGUAGCACGAGCUCCAGCAGGUAUAUCUCACUGGUCACGAUAACAAACACCCAACCGUAGCACGCGCUCCAGCAGGUAUAUCUCACUGGUCACCAUAACAACACCCACUAGUAGCACGUGCUCCAGCAGGUAUAUCUCACUGGUCACGAUAACAACACCCACCCGUAGCACGUGCUCCAGCAGGUAUAUCUCACUGGU